rnacentral:rRNA from 1 species
CCCAGACUCCUACGGGAGGCAGCAGUGGGGGAUAUUGCACAAUGGGGGGAACCCUGAUGCAGCGACGCCGCGUGGGUGAAGGAGCGUUUCGGCGCGUAAAGCCCUAUCGGCAGGGAAGAAGGAGGACGGUACCUGACUAAGAAGCCCCGGCUAACUACGUGCCAGCAGCCGCGGUAAUACGUAGGGGGCAAGCGUUAUCCGGAUUUACUGGGUGUAAAGGGGGCGCAGACGGCAGCGCAAGCCAGGAGUGAAAGCCCGGGGCCCAACCCCGGGACUGCUCUUGGAACUGCGCGGCUGGAGUGCAGGAGGGGCAGGCGGAAUUCCUGGUGUAGCGGUGAAAUGCGUAGAUAUCAGGAGGAACACCGGUGGUGAAGGCGGCCUGCUGGACUGCGACUGACGUUGAGGCCCGAAAGCGUGGGGAGCAAACAGGAUUAGAUACCCUUGUAU